AUUGAACGCUGGCGGCAUGAUUUACACAUGCAAGUCGAACGGUAACAGGCCGCAAGGUGCUGACGAGUGGCGAACGGGUGAGUAAUGCAUCGGAACGUGCCCAGUCGUGGGGGAUAACUACUCGAAAGAGUAGCUAAUACCGCAUACGAUCUAUGGAUGAAAGCGGGGGACCGUAAGGCCUCGCGCGAUUGGAGCGGCCGAUGUCAGAUUAGGUAGUUGGUGGGGUAAAGGCUCACCAAGCCAACGAUCUGUAGCUGGUCUGAGAGGACGACCAGCCACACUGGGACUGAGACACGGCCCAGACUCCUACGGGAGGCAGCAGUGGGGAAUUUUGGACAAUGGGCGCGAGCCUGAUCCAGCAAUGCCGCGUGCAGGAAGAAGGCCUUCGGGUUGUAAACUGCUUUUGUACGGAACGAAACGGCUCUGGUUAAUACCCGGGGCUAAUGACGGUACCGUAAGAAUAAGCACCGGCUAACUACGUG
rnacentral:rRNA from 1 species